rnacentral:tRNA from 1 species
GCAGAAGAGAGGUUGGUAGAUAAGAGCACUGGUUCCUAUUCCAGAGGACCUGGGUUCAAUUCCCAGCAUCUGCG